UACGUAGGGGGCAAGCGUUGUCCGGAAUCAUUGGGCGUAAAGAGCGUGUAGGCGGCCCGGUAAGUCCGCUGUGAAAGUCCAGGGCUCAACCCUGGGAUGCCGGUGGAUACUGUCGGGCUCGAGUCCGGAAGAGGAGUGUGGAAUUCCUGGUGUAGCGGUGAAAUGCGUAGAGAUCGGGAGGAACACCAGCGGCGAAGGCGGCAAACUGGAUAGGCACUGACACUCAACAACGAAAGCGUGGGGGAGCAAACAGG
rnacentral:rRNA from 1 species